GAAAAGCCAUCUUUGCAUUGUUCCCAGGACCGGCUCUCUGCUCCCCGCAGCCACCUCCGCCGCGCUCCUUCUUCUCCGCCGCUGCGGACUCCGGCACCUCUCUCGCCAGAGUCCCCAAACUCUUGCAUUCUUUGUCAUUCUCUCUAUCGGAUCACCGGCGUGCCCCAUCAUGUCAGACGCGGCUGUGGACACCAGCUCCGAGAUCACCACCAAGGACUUGAAGGAGAAGAAGGAGGUUGUGGAGGAAACAGAAAAUGGAAGAGACGCACCCGCUAAUGGGAACGCUAACGAGGAAAAUGGGGAACAGGAGGCUGACAAUGAGGUAGACGAGGAAGAGGAAGAAGGUGGGGAGGAGGAGGAGGAAGAGGAAGAAGGUGAUGG